UACGUAGGGGGCUAGCGUUAUCCGGAAUUACUGGGCGUAAAGGGUGCGUAGGUGGUUUCUUAAGUCAGAGGUGAAAGGCUACGGCUCAACCGUAGUAAGCCUUUGAAACUGGGAAACUUGAGUGCAGGAGAGGAGAGUGGAAUUCCUAGUGUAGCGGUGAAAUGCGUAGAUAUUAGGAGGAACACCAGUUGCGAAGGCGGCUCUCUGGACUGUAACUGACACUGAGGCACGAAAGCGUGGGGAGCAAACAGGG
rnacentral:rRNA from 1 species